GUUGCGAAGAAAUCUUGUGGUAUGUGCCAGGGAAUGGUGCUGAAGUGGUAUAAUAGCCGCGGCAAGAUGUUCAUUUUAAUUACCGCUAUGCGUCCAUGCCAGGAGAUAUAGUCAUAAUGAGGUCCAUCAGGAUUGUGCGUAGGAGGGGGGUAUAGUUCCUGCAAUAUAAUUCCUUUGGGUUACUAGGUAUCCAGAUUCCCAGGUAGCGCAUUUGCUCUGUACACUAGUGGAAAGGGUAUCUGCGUCGGAUUUCUUCCCGCACGGCCGUUGGCGAGGCAAUGUUUAGAAUUUCGCAUUUUGACAGGUUUAAUUUUAAACCCGAUAUCCGUCCAUAUGCCUCAAAUUCUUCCAUCAAGGCUGGGAGCGUGUGUAGUGGGUUGUCUACAAAAAAGAGCAUGUCGUCUGCGUAUGCAGCUACCUUGUGUUCUUGGGAGUAUCUGAAUUUGUGCAUGGGAGCUGGUGGGCCUUCCAUUAGGCGUUCCAGGGGGGUCAGUCCAGUGGCGGUUAGCGUUUUGUGGAGUGGUAUGAAGUCCCUUCCCUGCAGAAAGUCCCAGGCCUUGAUCGGUAGUCCUCCCCCCAAUGCUUGGUUGUGUGUUAGCGUGGUCAGCGGGCUGGGUGUUGGGGAGAUGAUCGCUGCGUUCCUCAUUGUUGACCAUAUGUGGAGGGUAUGACUCGCCGGAGAGGGUGCGCCGGGGUCAUUAUUCCGUGGCAUUUUCUGAUUCCAUAGGGAUGCAAAAAUGGAUGGGCUGCAUGAUUCUUUGUCCAAGGCCACCCAUUGUUUGCAUCUCGGGUUAGUGUGCCAUUCCAGUAUCCGUUGUAGGGCUGUCGCUUGGUGGUAUUUGCGCAGGUCUGGGAGUGCCAAUCCGCCCUGACUCCUGGUCUUGCAUAGUAUUUCAUAUCUCAGUCGAGGUCUGCAUCCUCUCCAGACAUAGGUCAGGAAUGCGGUUUUCAGUGUCGCGAAAAAGGUCGUCGGUAAUGCCACUGGGAUCAUAUGGAACAAAUAUAGUAGCGGUAUAUUCAUUUUGAUGACCGCUAUGCGUCC